CGCAUUAAAACAAUAUAUUACAAAGCAAAACUCCAAAUGAAGGUCACAGAACAAGCACACAGAAUGGAUAAGGUCAAAAACUGUCCUCGUGUAUGCAGAUAAAAGACAUUUACCACUCAGUUAAUGUAUUUACUUAACCACUGCAGACCAAUGUCAAUGACUCAUCUGUCCUCACUCCUGUGUUGUAAUCGGUCCUGGUUUGGCAUCGCAAGAAGUGUCCUGAUGUCAUCUUGACAACCGGCUCUGCUCGGAGCAGAGCUGCAUGUAAUUCUACUGUUGGACCGGCCUGCUCAUCAGAAGGUGGUAAGGCUGGGCCAAUCAGCUGCGGCACUGGUGCUCACACCACUUGCAGCUGAUCUGUGUCUGACCUGUUCCUGCUAUUCUGACAAUGCCUCUGCCUGAUCCUGAUUGUCGACCACACCUGAGAAAUGUAUCUUACCUGCUGUCAUCUGGUUGUCAGAAUACCUCCACCAGUAUCAUCAGCACACCAUUUCUACAUGUAUGCCUGCCUUACCACCCGCUACUUAACCGGUACUACUCAUGGUAGAGACCUGGUAGCUCCCUUGCAGCAGAAGUCCAGCUUCCACAUCCAGGAGGGUAAAAACCAAGGAAAUACUUAGACUCUGGUUCCAAGUUUGGCCCACAAUCAAAUUGUUACGUCAUCAAAUUUUGGAAACAAACGGAGUAAAAGAUCUGAGCUGAAACCACUGACGUCAUAGUUUUGAUCGAUGGGAGCCUGGAAGAUGAUCACUGUGCAUGUUUGCUUCCACUUGAGUGCUUCAUGGAGAGCCCCAAGAGCAGUAUAUACCCUCAGAAGUGGGUAUACCCUCAAUAAGCUACCACUGAGCUCUCUUUCAUGUGUCUUCAUCUGUAUAUUGUAUAGUGAUGGUGUCCUCUGCCAGUCUGAGCAGCUGGAUUAGAGCAUGAUAGAGAAUCUGCAAUAGGUUGAUUGGCCAAAUACAAAGAACCAGACACAGCAAAAUCUAUUAUGAUACAAACAACACAUACAGACACAAAAUAACAAUUAAAAGUUUAGCAACAGGUAUAUAUCAAACAGUCUGACCCCUAAAUGGGAUCCAAACAACUACCUACUGUGCAUACUUAGAGAAUAAAAGAUCCUAAAUUAACAAAUAAACAAACAAUUGAUCAAUAAUUAUCAUUAGAACAUGUAAAAACAAGAUACAAACAAAUAUAUUUAUGCAAAUAAUUAAGUAUCAAGUAAACAUCACAGGUCUUGAGAGUCUGUGAAUCCAGAGGGUUAGCUGAUCAAGUUAGUUAAUGACUUAUUGAUUAACGUUUAUUAACUAUUUUUUGAUGGUAUCAUGGAAAAAUGUUUAUUUUGUUGUUUUGCAUUUUAAAUGGACACCGUUCAUCUUGAGCUGAGUAAAGCAUUUUAACUUUAUUCUCGGGGUCAGUAUAAUUGCAGUAAUUCCAAAUUUAUAGAGUUUUUAUUUAUUUUUAUUUUUUUAUUUCUUUGACCAGGGUGGCAGACAACAGAUACCCAAUAAUACCUAAAAUUCAACAGUCCUGAUUAGACCACAUAUAAGGGGUUAAACGAUCAGGAUCAGAGGUUUCUUCAGUUCUAGUAUUAAUAGCAGAAGCCAAGCUAUCAUGCAGCAGUCAUGCUCCUGUGCUACCUAGCCAAGGAGACCAGUGCCAUAAAAAGUUAUAUGGACGGGCACCCUGGUGAUCGCUAAAAAUUUUUUAAAAAGCCUUAUUCGCGUUCACUAAAAGGUUAUAGGAGUAUUUUGGGAUUGUUUGUAUUUGACUGUGCUACAGAGGCUGUAAAGUUAGUGUUGUUCAUAAUAGUGUCUGUACCUGUGUUUGAUGGCUGUUCUCGCAAUUCUUAUGAGAUCUUUGUUCAUUUUAGCAGCAUACAAAAUGAGUGUUGUCUCAGCUUUUCCCAGGGGCAGUGUGGCCCAAGGCAUUACAUAGCUAGUAGUUGUUGAAAGAAAAGGAGGCUGAGUUUUGAGCGACUGCUGGGUGUGAAGGUGACCAUUCUCCAAAAGGGCUGCAGGGAAUUGUAGUUUACAGCACAGCACUCAAGGCAGCUUAGCUGUGCUGCAAUGGGGGGAGUGACUGAUGUGUGUGACUUCACACUUAGAAACAAGAGAUCUUGGGACUUGUAGUUGGAGAGAGGGAACUCCAACAGGAAAUAGCCAUGUGGCAAAAAGAAAGCAGCAGCAUUAUGGUGGACAACACAGCCAUUAAGCCCAAAAGACAAGCAGAGAUCCUUCCUGUGCAUGUCCAUUACUGUCUGGCAGGUAAGUACUAAAAUCACAUCACAUCUGAGCUGUGAUGUGAAAGACUUAAAGCAGGACUUUUUGAUCACAUAUGCAAAUCUACCUGAUGACAUGUGCCAGGACAUAGAGCAUGCCUGUGAGUCCUGUUUUCCCGUCUACAGAGUGAGUGAUUGAUGACUUUUUCUGUAUGAGUAUGCACAGGAAGACUUAAUUUUAGGGCUAAUGAUCAGAAUGGAAUAAUGAUUUCUGAAUUAUUACAAAAUUUAGAUAGCAAAUUGGUAAAUUAGUAAAAGAAAACAUCACCGGAAUUGAAAAAAAUAUUUGGUUAACAUAAAAGCUUGAUUUAAACAAGGUCAUUUUAUGAUGGCACAUUCCAUUUAAUGGGAUUGUCCAGCAAAAGAAACAACCUGUGUAUGGUGUCAAAAAGUAUAAUGAAACAACUUACUAAUAUAAUGUGUUUAGCUAUAAUGAGAUCUCUUCCUAUCAGAUCUGAUCUCUCCCUUGUAGCUGUCAUGACGUCAGCUAGAGCUCCAAUCCCCCUUUCCCUUGGUCAGAAACUAUUUCUCUAUUAGAUCCUGCCUCAGAUAAAAAAAUCUAAAAGAUCUUUGACAGAGGAUAAUUGUUAGAGAGAUGUAUUAACUGUGUAGAGAAAGAGUGCAGUUGCUUUCAUUUUUAAAAAGGCCUAAGAAAAAUAAAAUUGGUUGUUAUGAGCAACUGCAGAGCUCUCUUUCUUUACACAGGUUUUGAUAAAUCUCCCUCAUAAUGAGCUGCUUGCUAAUCCCAGUAAUUGAGUUUUUCUUUGUUUUAGUUUUUUCAGUGCCUUUUCUACAGCGUUUACUUGUUUUGGCUUAUUAGCAGUGGUACAACUAAUUACCAUGUGAGGUUUUGCCACAAAUGAUCAAAAUUGCAGUAAAAAUGUCAGGUUUUACCAUGAUAAUACAGAUCGCAGUAAAACACAUAGGGGAUUUUGGUCAUUUAUGAUUACACAAGGCCAAAACGCAUGUGGUAAUUAGUUGUGUUACUGCUAAUUAGCUGCAGCACACCCACUGUGUGAACAUAGCCUUGGUCCAAAUUAUAUUUCUACAAGUUAUCAUUUUUUUGUUACCUUUGUUUAGAUUGGUAUGUAACAAGAGACAUCACAUCAACAAAAAUGUUUGUUAGAAACGAUGUAAAUACUUCUGUGCCUUACUUA